rnacentral:rRNA from 1 species
GGAAUAUUGGACAAUGGGCGCAAGCCUGAUCCAGCCAUGCCGCGUGAGUGAAGAAGGCCUUAGGGUUGUAAAUCUCUUUCGGCGGGGAAGAUAAUGACGGUACCCGCAGAAGAAGCCCCGGCUAACUCCGUGCCAGCAGCCGCGGUAAGACGGAGGGUGCUAGCGUUGUUCGGAAUCCCUGGGCGUAAAGGGCGCGUAGGCGGCCUUUGGUGUCGGAUGUGAAAGCCCGGGGCUCAACUCCGGAGGUGCAUCCGAAACUCGAAGGCUGGAGGCCGGAAGAGGAGGGUGGAAUACCCAGUGUAGAGGUGAAAUUCGUAGAUAUUGGGUGGAACACCGGUGGCGAAAGCGGCUCUCUGGUCCGGUCCUGACGCUGAGGCGCGAAAGCGUGGGGAGCAAAC